rnacentral:rRNA from 1 species
AAUAUGGCACAAUUGGCGCAAAGCCUGAUUCAGCCAUGCCGCGUGAAGUGAUGAAGACCUUAGGGUUGUAAAAACUCUUUCAUCGGUGAAAGAUAAUGACGGUAGCCGAAGAAGAAGUCCCGGGCUAACUCCGUGCCAGCAGCCCGCGGUAAUUCGGAGGGGGACUAGCGUUGUUCGGAAUUACUGGGCGUAAAGCGCGCGUAGGCGGGCUGGUCAGUUGGGGGUGAAAUCCCGAGGCUUAACCUCGGAACUGCCUUCAAUACUGCCAGUCUUGAGUUCGGAAGAGGUGGGUGGAAUUCCUAGUGUAGAGGUGAAAUUCGUAGAUAUUAGGAAGAACACCAGUGGCGAAGGCGGCUCACUGGUCCGAUACUGACGCUGAGGUGCGAAAGCGUGGGGAGCGAACAGGAUUAGAUACCCUGGUAGUCCACGCCGUA